rnacentral:rRNA from 1 species
AAGNUCUAAUCUGCCCAAUGAGNNNNNNAAUGGCNNNAGUAUUUUGACUGUGNNAAGGUAGCAUAAUCAAUAGUUUCUUAAUUAGAAGCUUGUAUGAAUGAUUGGAUGAGAAAAUAACUGUCUUAAUUUAAUUUAAUUGAAUUUUAUUUUUAAGUCAAAAAGCUUAAAUGAAAUUAAAAGACGAGAAGACCCUAUAGAGUUUGAUAUAAAUUAAUAAUUUUAAUUUUUAUUUAAUUAUUAAAUUUUUUAUUUUGUAUUUGGUUGGGGUGAUAGAAAAAUUUAAUUAACUUUUUUUAUUUUGAAACAUUAAUUUAUGAGCUUAUGAUCCAAUAUUUUUGAUUAAAAGAUUAAAUUACCUUAGGGAUAACAGCGUAAUUUUUUUUGAGAGUUCUUAUCGAAAAAAAAGAUUGCGACCUCGAUGUUGGAUUAAAGUUAAGGUUUGGUGUAGAAGCUAAACAUUUAGGUCUGUUCGACCUUUAAAACUUUACAUGAUCUGAGU